rnacentral:rRNA from 1 species
UACAGAGGGUGCAAGCGUUAAUCGGAAUUACUGGGCGUAAAGCGUGCGUAGUCGGUUAUCUAAGUCGGGUGUGAAAUCCCCGGGCUCAACCUGGGAAUUGCAUUCGAUACUGCAUAACUAGAAUCUCGGAGAGGGUGGUGGAAUUCCCAGUGUAGAGGUGAAAUUCGUAGAUAUUGGGAGGAACACCGGUGGCGAAGGCGACCGCCUGGACGAAGGAUUGACGCUGAGGCGCGAGAGCGUGGGAGCAAACGAGGAU